GACGAACGCUGGCGGCGUGCUUAACACAUGCAAGUCGAACGGAAAGGCCUUUUCGGAGGUACUCGAGUGGCGAACGGGUGAGUAACACGUGGGUGAUCUGCCCUGCACUCUUGGAUAAGCCUGGGAAACUGGGUCUAAUACCGGAUAGGACCGCACUUUAGUGUGUGUGGUUGAAAGUUUUUUCUGUGUGGGAUGAGCCCGCGGCCUAUCAGCUUGUUUGUGGGGUAAUGGCCUACCAAGGCGGCGACGGGUAGCCGGACUGAGAGGUUGGUCGGCCAAAUUGGGACUGAGAUACGGCCCAGACUCCUACGGGAGGAAGCAGUGGGGAAUAUUGCAAAAUGGGGGCAAGCCUGAUGCAGCGAAGCCGCGUGGGGGAGGACGGCCUUCGGGUUGUAAACACCUUUCGCAAGGGACGAAGCGUUUUGUGACGGUACCUGGAGAAGAAGCACCGGCUAACUACGUG
rnacentral:rRNA from 1 species